CAACCAGCCACAGCGCCGGGCCAGAGGAAGGACCCCUCCCAGGUCUGACCGCAGAAGGACCUUGCCUGUGGCCACUGUGGGCCUGCACAAGGGGUCCAGGACAAAGCACGAACUGUCAGCAUAUGUGGCCCAUGAGACCCUGACCAGCCUUGGCCUCAUCUCCUGGCCCCAGACACUCUGUUACAUUCUCUGCUCCACGUGACGGUUUUAAAACAUCCUCUCUUUUAAGAGGUGCAGCUUCGUUCCCAUACUCUUGACGCCACAGCUCGGGACUCCCUUCUAACAAAUAGAAUAUGACAGAAAAAAUGGUGUGUGACUUCUGAGACUCAGCCCCAAGAGGCACGACAGCUUGGAUCCCUUGCUCCAGGGAAAACCCGCUGCCAUGUCAUGAGGACACUCAGGAGUCCACACAGCAAGCAACUCCGGCCUCCCACAGCCGUCAGCAAGGCACUGAGGCCCCCUGCCAGCCGCUAUGGGCCUCAGGAGAGCUCCGGAGCCAGGACUGCUCAUCGAGGCCGCUCCUGAAUUCCUGACCCGCAGGAACGAGGAGGUAAUAAACAUUUGUCGUUUUCAGCCCUGAAGUUUCGGGGAAAUUUGUCACAGAGCAAUCAAUAAUGAA